CACAGGCAGGGCCACCAACCUCCAGAUCUGGCACUAGCCCAGCUCUGUCCUGAAUGGUGCAUGGAUUUCCAAGAAGAACACGGCCAACUGCAGAACCUGGAGCUGGCUGGCGGUGGAACCAGCGGAUCUCAUACACGUGGGCUGCCGGAUGAGAGGCAGAGGAAUGGCCACACUGAUCCCAUACCAUGAAAGGAUGGCUGCUCGCCUUCAGCGAUGUCAGGAAAUGCUGAGGAACCAGAAAAUGAGCAUGAGAUGCUCCCAGCUGCUCAGUUCCUGCUCUCCCUGUUCAGCUCUUCCACCCGACCGAUUCACGUGCCUCCAGAAUUGAACCUUGAACACCGUUUCCACCCCUCUGUGCAUGUGAAACAGCAAUCUGGAAAACACAUUGGUGUUUUAAUAGCGUUUCUGGGUAACCCUCUUGUACCGUAGGUAUAGCCAAAACAAGGAGAAAACCCCUCAGGGCUGCGAAACCUAAGGACAAAUGCCGAUGGGGAGGCUUCUGCUGACCUCGCUGGGAGCUGGACCGAUGCCUGGUGGCAGACAAAGGCUGUGUGAGUGGGGUGUGCUCACCCCAGCCCUGUUCUUCCUAUGGUGUUGGGGCCCAGGGUAUGUAUUUCCCCCCCUGGCAAUGGGCAGACUUGGAUGGGUUGGACGUUGCGCAGCUCUCUCCCUUCUCUGGUUUCAGCUCGGUUGUUAAACCCAGUAAUAUGCGCAAUAAUCUGCCUGUCUGGGAUUAAUAUAACGUUAUAUGUUUCUUGAAAGCCUUUCUGAUCCCGCAGUUAAUUUAAUCUUUUAUUAACAUUAACGAGCUCAUGUGGUGUCCAGCAAGCCUGGGGAGAAUGCUUUCCAAUACCAACAGAUGACAAAGAGAUGAAAAUAUAAUAGCAGAUGAAUUCCUCCUUCACCGCAAA